CCUACGGGAGGCAGCAGUGGGGAAUAUUGGACAAUGGGCGCAAGCCUGAUCCAGCCAUGCCGCGUGAGUGAAGAAGGUCUUCGGAUUGUAAAGCUCUUUUGGUGGGGAAGAUGAUGACUGUACCCACAGAAUAAGCUCCGGCUAACUUCGUGCCAGCAGCCGCGGUAAUACGAAGGGAGCUAGCGUUGUUCGGAAUCACUGGGCGUAAAGCGCGCGCAGGCGGCUUUUUAAGUUAGGAGUGAAAGCCUUGGGCUUAACCCAAGAAAUGCUCUUAAGACUGGGAAGCUAGAGUGUGGGAGAGGAUAGUGGAAUUCCGUGUGUAGAGGUGAAAUUCGUAGAUAUACGGAGGAACACCGAUGGCGAAGGCACCUAUCUGGAACACAACUGACGCUGAGGCGCGAAAGUGUGGGGAUCAAACAGGAUUAGAUACCCUGGUAGUC
rnacentral:rRNA from 1 species